GGCCGCGGUAUUAUGACCGUGCGAAGGUAGCAUAAUCAUUAGUCUUUUAAUUGAAGGCUGGAAUGAAUGGUCGGACGAGAAGUAAGCUGUCUUUAUCUCGUGGAUUGAAUUUAAUUUUUAAGUGAAAAGGCUUAAAUGAAUUAGAGGGACGAUAAGACCCUAUAAAGUUUAUACAUGGGGCUGGUUGAGAGUGAUUCAGAAUAGUAAAGUUUAUUAUUAGCAAGAUGUUUAGUUGGGGCGACUAAGAUAUAAAUUAUAUAACUGUCUUUUGUUUAAAUCAGAGGUAUCUGUUCGUAUGAUCCUUUUUUAGGAUUGGAGAGUAAAUUACUUUAGGGAUAACAGCGUAAUUUUUUUUGAGAGUUCUUAUCGACAAAAGAGUUUGCGACCUCGAUGUUGAAUUAAAAAUUUCUUUGUGGUGUAGCAGUUACGUAAGAAGG
rnacentral:rRNA from 1 species